CAAGGUCUCCGUAGGUGAACCUGCGGAGGGAUCAUUACACAAUACAAUAUGAAGGCUGUCCGCAGCUGGAGUAUUUUAUUACCCUUGUCUUUUGCGCACUUGUUGUUUCCUGGGCGGGUUCGCUCGCCACCAGGACCACCAAAUAAACCUUUUUUAUGCAGUUGCAAUCAGCGUCAGUACAAACAAUGUAAAUCAUUUACAACUUUCAACAACGGAUCUCUUGGUUCUGGCAUCGAUGAAGAACGCAGCGAAAUGCGAUACGUAGUGUGAAUUGCAGAAUUCAGUGAAUCAUCGAAUCUUUGAACGCACAUUGCGCCCUUUGGUAUUCCAAAGGGCAUGCCUGUUCGAGCGUCAUUUGUACCCUCAAGCUUUGCUUGGUGUUGGGCGUUUUUGUCUUUGGUCGCCCAAAGACUCGCCUUAAAGUGAUUGGCAGCCGGCCUUUCUGGUUUCGCAGCGCAGCACAUUUUUGCGCUUGCCAUCAGCAAAACGGCAAUCCAUCAAGCCUCCUUC
rnacentral:rRNA from 1 species